rnacentral:tRNA from 1 species
GGGGCUGUGGCGCAGUGGUAGCGCAUCUCCUUUGCAAGGAGAGGGUCGCGAGUUCGAAUCUCGCCAGCUCCA